GACCCGGAGGUCAGCGCUGAUCUUCCGACGAGACCAUUUGCGAGACACGAACGCAGCCGCACGGUACGGCCCUACCGUAAGUUGAACGCGUCCUUACUGAAGGCGCCAUUUUGUCUAUUCCAUCAAUUGACAUUUGCAUGAUUUGCGUUACUUACAACAUGGCCAUACCGUACUGCACAAUAAUAAUAAAUUAUUACAUUACGCUAUGACAUAGAUAGUUCAACUAUAAAUAUUAGUGGUAAAUCAUUAAAUAAUGUAAACAAGUGAUAAAAAACAGUAAAAUAAAUAUUUGGUAUUAGAAAAUAAAUGAUUUGAAAACAACACAACGUAACAUGGAGACUUAUAAUUAUGUACAUCUAAUAGCUUUCCCGUUACCAAGGAGAAAGUUUAGGUAAAAAAAUUAAGUGGAGUGAUCAUAUCAAGUUUAUAUUAUGCACACUACGGAAGAUAUAAAGAGAACAAAACACGGCUUUAAAGACAAUUACAGGAUAGAAACAUAACCUCAAAUAUGAUACAGAAGAAACAGACUAAUCAAAACUAUGAAAGGACACGAACAUUUACAUUACAUUUGAUAGUGAGGAAAGGACAGAAAAACAGGUUCCUGAGGGGCGGAGGAAUGAUGUUCCAGCACUUGGUCGCAUUGUACUUGAAGCUGCCACGAAAAGCCGCAGUCGCAUGCCGAGGAGUUAUCAGCUGUAUACUACAAGUGCGUACUGCAAGAGACCUGCGAGUGGACAUCCAUGACAGCUUUUCGAAGAGAUAUAAAGGGGAUUUAUGUUUUACUAUGCCAAAAAGAAGACUGGCCAGAUGAAGUUUGCGACGGUGAAGCAUUUUAAGAAUAUUGUGCUUAUUCAAAAAUGGCGUGACAUGAGCUCUUGGUGGUACAUUGAAACAGAAGCGGGUACAGGCAUUCUGUACUCUUUGAAUAAGCCGUUUUGUUUUUGAUAGGAGCCGAGGGCCAUACACUAAAUCCAUGUAAUUUAAUUUAGACAGAACUAGUGUUUCAAUCAAUUGAAUGCGCAAGGUUUCGUUAAUAAAAGGCCGUAUGUUG